CACACUUCAUCAAGCUAAAAUAAUGAACGCUCUCAAAUGACAUCAAGCACAGCAAACACCUAUCUACGCGACAAAGCAUUACGAAAUCGGAGAUCUAUCAACAUAACAGGAGAAUUACACACAAACAGCUUAACAUCAUAGAGUGAACAUAUUUUCCAGAGUUCGAAGACGUCCGAUAUAGGCGGCUGUCAGCGAUGGUAUGAUGAAGGGCGACAAGUCUUCGGACGGGAAACAACCCCUCUCUCUCCCCCGUGCUCCAACAUGCCCGCGCCUGUUGCGCAUUAAACACCUCGGGCUUCGAAGACGUCCGAUGGAGGCGGCUGCCGGCGCUGGUGUGAUGAAGGGCGGCAAGUCUCCGGGCGGGAAACAAUCACCCUCUGUCCCCCGCGCCCCAACAUGCCCGCGCCUGUUGCGCAUUGAGUACCUCUGAGUGCUGAUAUGGUUUUGUUAACUUAUAAACGCUUGCGUAUUGCUGAAAGUAUUCGUAUGUAGAAACAUAGGUUAAAAAUAAAAACGUAUAAAUAAAAUUAUAAAUAAAGAUUUAA